GAGGUGUGACCACUCGGGCCCACUGAUCAGCUGGCACUGACACAGGGGGAGGGACACCACAGAAAGAGAAGGUAGUCGUGUUCUUGGUGUCACGUUAUCCUAAUUAACAUUACAAUCAACAUACACACACACCAUCCUCCUGUCUGCACAUAGAGAUGAAUAACACUCACAGAAGACAGAACAGCCGUGGGCGAUCAACGGUCUUAAAGGUUGUGAUUCUUGGAGAUGGUGGGGUAGGCAAAUCCUGCCUGAUGAACCGUUUCGUAACAGACCGUUUUGAUGAGCAUUCCUUCCACACCAUUGGAGUGGAGUUCCUGAACAAAGAGAUUGAGCUGGGAGGAGAAACAUAUACAUUACAGAUUUGGGACACAGCUGGACAAGAACGAUUCAAAAGUUUAAGGACUCCUUUCUAUCGAGGCUCAGACAUGUGCCUUCUCACCUUCAGCAUAGAUGAUCCUCCCAGCUUCAAGAAUCUGGAUAUGUGGAGGAAGGAAUUUGUAUAUUAUGCUGAUGUCAAAGCUGAUUUUCCCUUUCUUGUCGUGGGCAAUAAGGUUGACUUAGAGAGAAAAGUGGAGCGUGAGGAUGCAGAAGCUUGGUGUAAAGAGAAUGGUGAUCUUCCUUACAUUGAAACCUCAGCUAAGGAUGCUACCAAUGUGGAGGCAUCUUUUAUGGUGUGUCUCAAGAGAUGGGCAAACAUAGAGGGCCACCAGGAACGACUACCCAUGCCAGAAACAGUCCAGUUGGAUGGUGGAGGGUCUCAUCAUCGACUCUGCUCCUGUUCCUCAUAGGUGUAAGCAAUGCAUGAUGCUGGGGACACCAGUAUCACUCUGUACAUUGGAGCAUCAUGGAAACACUGAAAAGUUGGUUUUAAGGCAUAAUAAAUUGCCCAUGAGAGGCUUUCAUUAAGGACUGAACCCCUGCUAUCAUACCUAUAAAAUGUGUCUGAUCUCAUCAGUUAGAUCACAAGUACUUGUCAAGGCCUGACUAUCUUUGCCUGUCACUUCAUGAUAUGUAUUUAUAUAUAUACACUCAACCCUUGUAGAUUGAACAUUUCGAAAUUGUAUUUUUCCCACAGCAUAUAUCCAUUUAAAUAUUGUUUCAUAUAUAUUGUGCACCUUCCAUCCGUAGUGUGCAUGUCUCAUGCUCAGCAGCCCAUGGCAUAUUUGUUUGUAGAGAAUGAAUUUUAUAGGCUGAGAGACUUUAUCAUAAAAGCUUCUCAUUGUCCCUUAACCUCACUACUGUGGUAGUAAGUUUCUGGAAACAAAAUCCAAAUUCAGGUCAGGUUGACUCUGGUCAUUCUGACUGAGACUCAUCAGCUACUUGCUCCACAAUUGCAUAUGCUCUCUCACAGGCUUUCAAUCAAAGAGAAGAGGAAGAAGACCCUAACAUACAUAGAAAAAUUGGACAUAGUGAAAUGAAUAAUUGAUGAUGGGAAAGCAAAAUUAUUAGUUGUUACCAGUUUUUAUAUCAACAAAACCAUAAGAGGGACUUACAAGCAGUUGGACUUUAUUGUAGCCCAAACUGACACAGUGAGACAGACACAACGAUAUCCCAAUUAUCAUAUCACCAAGACUGAACGACUACUGGCAAGACAGGGAUGGUGUAAAUUUAGCAGUGGCUUGGAAGUGGGGAGUAAAGGACCAUCCAUGUUCAGUACCUCCAAGGGCUGGGUGGAAAAUUCAAGCCAAAGAAGUGACGAACAGCAUGUCCUAUCCUAAGGGAAGAAUGAUGGUGGAGAGAUGCUGAGAUAUCACUCAUUGAAAUGGUGAGGAACCUGUCAGCCUUGCAGGAAGUAAAUUCUUCAGAUUAUAAGAACCAAAGACAUUCAGUAUUCAUUGUACUCCAAGACAAAAAGAAAAGUAUUGAGCAUGUAUAAUCCAAAUUUAACCCUGCAGGGACUAACCUCAAUUAAAUUUUGUUUAGCCUAAGCCUGUGGGACCCUUUCUCAAUCUAACUUAACCCUGCAGGGUGUAGCUGUAAUCUAGCCUGACUUAACCUUACCUUUCAUUUGCUUCACAAAUUAAAUUGAUAACAGGAUGUCACUAGCGCUGCUGGAAAAUAUUAAUCUCUUAUAAACAAGUCUGCCAUAGUUGCUGAGAUACAAGUCAAAGGCUGCCUUGUGUGUGUGUGUGUGUGUUCUAGGGAAAAUUGAUGUUAGCAUCCUAUCUUGAAAUAUUGAGAGUUGACAGUCAAAGGGAAUAUGCUUUCAUUACUAAGCAAUCAGAUAAAUUACAAGGUAAAUAUUGAUAGCUAAUUGAAGCAUGUCAGUGUUUAUUUGUUAUCCACAAUAGCAGUAAUGAGCAUCAAUAAUGUAUUUAAUGGAUCUAAAGUCAUAAAAGGAAAUAGUGUAUGUUGAGUGGCUUGAAUCAAUUGAAAUUAGGCGCAUAGGUUUUGUGAAUUCACAUUAUGUUUUCUCACAUACACUAUGGAUGGUCCCAGUUAUACGUUAUUUGGAAGGGUUGUAUGUAUAGAUAUCUAUCCUGACUUGAAUAUUGUGAGUGGCCAUCAGUAUGAGUUAUUGCCAUUAAAAUGUCAUGCUAUACAGAAUUGUAGACUGUAUUUCCUCACCA
rnacentral:misc_RNA from 1 species